rnacentral:rRNA from 1 species
CAGUAGCCGCGGUAAUACGGAGGGUACAAGCGUUAAUCGGAAUUACUGGGCGUAAAGCGCACGCAGGCGGUUUGUUAAGUCAGAUGUGAAAUCCCCGAGCUUAACUUGGGAACUGCAUUUGAAACUGGCAAGCUAGAGUCUUGUAGAAGGGGGUAGAAUUCCAGGUGUAGCGGUGAAAUGCGUAGAGAUCUGGAGGAAUACCGGUGGCGAAGGCGGCCCCCUGGACAAAGACUGACGCUCAGGUGCGAAAGCGUGGGGAGCAAACAGGAUUAGAUACCCCUGUAGUCCCUGUCUCUUAUAC